UCGGACGUGGUGUACGGUACACAGCGAAAUCCUCUUCAAGAUCAAUCAUUGUGAUUUGCAGUCCGGGGUUCGACUCCCCGCGUCCGAA